UAGGUUCGCAUUAGCGAUUAAUAGAGAAUCAGGUGAGAAACCUGAACAGUCCAGCUGCUGUAAGUCGUCGUUGUAGACACAAACAGAUACCACUGGGUAGAUACUAUCUGGGAAGGUGUUUGUGAUCAGACGAUAAGUCAGAAGACCUGCCAUUGCGAU
rnacentral:ncRNA from 1 species